rnacentral:rRNA from 1 species
UACGGAGGGUGCAAGCGUUAAUCGGAAUUACUGGGCGUAAAGCGCACGCAGGUGGCUGAGUCAGUCGAUUGUGAAAGCCCUGGGCUUAACCUGGGAAUUGCAGUCGAUACUACUCAGCUAGAGUAUGGGAGAGGGUAGUGGAAUUCCCGGUGUAGCGGUGAAAUGCGCAGAUAUCGGGAGGAACACCAGUAGCGAAGGCGGCUCGCUGGGCCAUUCCUGACGCUGAGACGCGAAAGCUAGGGGAGCGAACAGG